rnacentral:rRNA from 1 species
GAUGAACGCUGGCGGCGUGCCUAAUACAUGCAAGUCGAGCGAACAGACGAGGAGCUUGCUCCUCUGACGUUAGCGGCGGACGGGUGAGUAACACGUGGAUAACCUACCUAUAAGACUGGGAUAACUUCGGGAAACCGGAGCUAAUACCGGAUAAUAUAUUGAACCGCAUGGUUCAAUAGUGAAAGACGGUUUUGCUGUCACUUAUAGAUGGACCCGCGCCGCAUUAGCUAGUUGGUAAGGUAACGGCUUACCAAGGCAACGAUGCGUAGCCGACCUGAGAGGAUGAUCGGCCACACUGGAACUGAGACACGGUCCAGACUCCUACGGGAGGCAGCAGUAGGGAAUCUUCCGCAAUGGGCGAAAGCCUGACGGAGCAACGCCGCGUGAGUGAUGAAGGUCUUCGGAUCGUAAAACUCUGUUAUUAGGGAAGAAAAAAUGUGUAAGUAACUAUGCACGUCUUGACGGUACCUAAUCAGAAAGCCACGGCUAACUACGUG